GGAGAGAUGGCCGAGCGGUCGAAGGCACUGGUCUUGAAAAUCAGCAAAGGCUUACCCCCUUUCGUGGGUUCGAUUCCCACUCUCUCCG
rnacentral:tRNA from 1 species